CAGUUACGCCAUUUUCUUCCAAUGUUUACCAAAUUAAUUUGCUACUAAAAUUGGACUUAUUGCAUUGAAACUGGAUGAAAACACACACUCAUUUAUUUGAUAACAUUAAUCUACAUUAUUUUGUGAAAUCUGAAAAGUAACAUAACAGCAGAAUGACUGCAGACCAUGAAAGUCAGAUACAGAGAUGCAAGUGUUUGUUCUAAGAGGAAGCAUGGUGUACAAGAUGGACUGAGAAAGUUAAUUUGCAGUUGGCCAGUCUGACAGAGAAAUUUAUGAAGUUACAGAAUGGCUAUAAACACUAAGUUCAGAAGUAAAGAGGCACAAGUCUUUGGUGUGUGAUGGGAACUCAAAUGGAGAUGGAUGUUUGGAUGCUAUGGCAGUUAUAGAAAAUAUUUAAUAAGUCAAGUUCGAAACUGGGCCACGUGCGGUCAAAAACUAGGUCAGUAGACCUGUGAUGGGAACUCAAAUGGAGAUGGAUGUUUGGAUGCUAUGGCAGUUAUAGAAAAUAUUUAAUAAAGAAGUAACAGGCAAAGCAGAAUGGCUACAGUACAGGUCAUGAACUUCAGAAAUGAAGAGAUGCAGGUCUUUGUUCUACAUGGUGUACGAGGGAAAUGUAAUCGAUGACAGCUGUAGAAAACAUAUAAAAAUAUGAAGUAACAGUAAAGAAGAAUGGCUACAGACCUUGAAGAGCUGCAGGUUUUGUUCUACAUGGUGUAUUGGGGAAACAGUGGAUAUCAUUUGAUAACUGUAUGGAAAGGACAUCGAUGGCAGCCAUAGACCUCCUGCUAGGACAGCUACAGCAUUUGAUGAUGAAUCGGUUAAAUGUGACCUAAGGAACAAGGAUAUUCUGAAAGCAGUAAAAGCAAGAGGUCCAAUUACUUCUUCCAAGAGUGGCAAGCAAUGGAUGGUCUAUUCUGCUUUUCAGGGUCCUUGGGAACAGUUAGGAUGCAGCAUGGUGUUUAACAGAGGAGGAAAUUACAGUGACAGUUUUGAAGAUUUUGGGCUUGUAACGAAACAGAAUCUGUCUUGUGCCUAGAAAUUGAACUUACAUAUUAUGGACAAGGGGUGAGAUCUUGCCUACAACCAUGCUGUAUGUACUGUGGGAAUAAAGAACACAUGCUUGAGGAUACAGAUCUGACCUACCACCAUGCUGUAUGUACUGUGGAGAUAAAGAACACCUGCUUGAGGAUACAGAUCCGUAUAUUACAAAAUUUAAUGAGAACUUUUCAUGCGUAUGACCUCUGUGUACAAUAUGUCGAGCAAAUGGUCAAGAAAACUUGGGGUCAUAAAUAUUUCAAGAAACAAAAAAGGUGUUAAAUAUGAGAUAUGUGGGAAUUGUUCACUAAAUUCAUGAACGUUGUGCAAACACAUGCGGGACCUCCGUGGCAGAAUGGUUAAGGUCCCUGACUUCAAAUCACUUGCCCCUCAUUGAUGUGGGUUCGAGCCUCACUUGGGGCAUUGAAUUCUUCAUGUGAGGAAGCC
rnacentral:lncRNA from 1 species